AAUGGGCGCAAGCCUGAUCUAGCCAUACCGCGUGAGUGAUGAAGGCCUUAGGGUCGUAAAGCUCUUUCGCCAGGGAAGAUAAUGACUGUACCUGGUAAAGAAGUCCCGGCUAACUCCGUGCCAGCAGCCGCGGUAAUACGGAGGGGACUAGCGUUGUUCGGAAUUACUGGGCGUAAAGCGCACGUAGGCGGACUGAUCAGUCAGGGGUGAAAUCCCGGGGCUCAACCCCGGAACUGCCUCUGAUACUGUCAGUCUUGAGUUCGAGAGAGGUGAGUGGAAUUCCGAGUGUAGAGGUGAAAUUCGUAGAUAUUCGGAGGAACACCAGUGGCGAAGGCGGCUCACUGGCUCGAUACUGACGCUGAGGUGCGAAAGCGUGGGGAGCAAACAGGAUU
rnacentral:rRNA from 1 species